CCUUAGAGUUUGAUCCUGGCUCAGGAUGAACGCUAGCGGGAGGCCUAACACAUGCAAGUCGAGCGGGAUUUCCCUUCGGGGAUUGAGAGCGGCGCACGGGUGAGUAACGCGUAUGCAACCUGCCCUUUACAGGGGAAUAGCCCGGAGAAAUCCGGAUUAAUGCCCCAUAGUACCAAGGAGCCGCAUGGUUUUUUGGUUAAAGCUCCGGCGGUAAAGGAUGGGCAUGCGUUCCAUUAGAUAGUCGGCGGGGUAACGGCCCACCGAGUCGAUGAUGGAUAGGGGUUCUGAGAGGAAGGUCCCCCACAUUGGAACUGCGACACGGUCCAAACUCCUACGGGAGGCAGCAGUGAGGAAUAUUGGUCAAUGGCCGGAAGGCUGAACCAGCCAAGUAGCGUGAAGGAUGACGGCCCUAUGGGUUGUAAACUUCUUUUUUAUGGGAAUAACGAUAGUCACGUGUGACUAUGUGCAUGUACCAUACGAAUAAGGAUCGGCUAACUCCGUGCCAGCAGCCGCGGUAAUACGGAGGAUCCGAGCGUUAUCCGGAUUUAUUGGGUUUAAAGGGAGCGUAGGCGGGAUAUCAAGUCAGCUGUGAAAUGUAGAUGCUCAACAUCUGCACUGCAGUUGAAACUGGUGUUCUUGAGUGCGUAAGAGGUAGGCGGAAUUCGUCGUGUAGCGGUGAAAUGCAUAGAUAUGACGAAGAACUCCGAUUGCGAAGGCAGCUUACUGGGCCGCAACUGACGCUGAAGCUCGAAGGUGCGGGUAUCAAACAGGAUUAGAUACCCUGGUAGUCCGCACAGUAAACGAUGGAUACUCGCUGUCGGCGAUAUACAGUCGGUAGCCAAGCGAAAGCAUUAAGUGUCCCACCUGGGGAGUACGCCGGCAACGGUGAAACUCAAAGGAAUUGACGGGGGCCCGCACAAGCGGAGGAACAUGUGGUUUAAUUCGAUGAUACGCGAGGAACCUUACCCGGGCUUGAAUUGCUGAUAACGGCAUUUGGAGACAGAUGCUUCCCUUCGGGGUAUCAGUGAAGGUGCUGCAUGGUUGUCGUCAGCUCGUGCCGUAAGGUGUCGGCUUAAGUGCCAUAACGAGCGCAACCCUUGCCGUUAGUUGCCAUCAGGUUAAGCUGGGCACUCUAGUGGGACUGCCAUCGUAAGAUGUGAGGAAGGUGGGGAUGACGUCAAAUCAGCACAGCCCUUAUGUCCGGGGCGACACACGUGUUACAAUGGUAGGUACAGCGGGAAGCUACCUGGCGACAGGAUGCAGAUCCCGAAACCCUAUCUCAGUUCGGACUGGAGUCUGGAACUCGACUCCAUGAAGCUGGAUUCGCUAGUAAUCGCGCAUCAGCCAUGGCGCGGUGAAUACGUUCCCGGGCCUUGCACACACCGCCCGUCAAG
rnacentral:rRNA from 1 species